GGCGGGGGGAGGUGCGGUGCAGGUGCGCCCCCGAGCGCGCUGUGGGCGUGCCCGGUGCCCGCCGCGGUGCGGGCAGGAGGAGGUCCAGCGUCGGCGGUACCCAUCUGGCUGAGUGGGCCGUGGCGGGGCGCGCCCUCGGCCGGCGUCCCCGGGGUUCCGGCGGGUCUGCGCGCGCGCCGCCGCGGAAGCAGGUCGGCCUUGCCCGGCCCUCGUCCGCGACCAGACAGAAGACGGGCACCCGACUCUGACCCCGAAGACGCACCCCUUGCCCUCGUUCUUCUGAGCGCCGCCUUGACCCCCAGUUGUUUCAGGGGCGCAGUUCCCCGCACCUUGCAGGUCCCAGGCUGAAAUUCGCGAGUAGAUAGUGGGCCAUGCUGUGUCCUGGGGGUACGACUCGUAGAAGACCUGACCUUGGUGCUGUAGGAUACGACAGUCUGGGGCAGAUGCUAUUAGAAGAUCCUAUUGCCACUUGUCUUUCUCCCUCAGUCUAUGAUAUGAUCUGCAAAUUUGGGUUUGAAGUCAGAGAAACUUGUGAUAUCAAUAGCAUUGUAACUCAGAGGGGUGAAGUAUGCUGGAAGACAAUCACAGACUGCGUGAUUUAUACACAAUCAGCCCAGAGUCUGGAUUACCCAGGAAGUGUGAGGCUGCUGGGCCCUGUGUGUGAGGCCGUCCACUCACAUUUGUUAUCUCUGACCAAGGAGCAGUUUGAAAUCUGUUAUACACCGUGGCUGCAGUGGACAGCUUUUCCAGAGUUAUUUCCUGAAAUACUUGAUGCUUUGGAAAGCCUUCAAUCUCCCGCUAUUUCUCUUAGCUUAAUGAAACUGACAGCAUGUCUAGAACGGGCUUUGGGUGAUGUAUUUUUACUGAAUGGGAAGGAAUGUCCUUUUCUUUUAAGAGACCUGCUUGCAUCUGAGGAGCUUGCUCAGGUCUUUGGGCAGUCUGUGAUGGACGUACUGAAAGUCUUCCUUGGAUCUCCACGCGGGCUCAAUCUGCGUAACAUCCUGUGGCAUGGGUUUGCGUCCCCUCACGAAGUCCCUCUGAAAUACUGUUCGAUGAUGACGCUGUUGACAGCGGGCUUGGGUCAGCUGCUAAAGAGUUACUUGCGACAAACUAAAUUCGCCUUGGUGCACCGACCUUUCAGAGCUCUUCCAGACCUUGAGGAUUUGGCCGUUUUCCCAGAUAUGACUUCUGAGGUACUUCCAGUGUUAGAAGAAGUGAUGAAGAAAUCCACUUUUAUAUUAAAAAUCAUGUUGCCGUACUGGGAAGAGGCAUUAAUCAGGUUCAAGGCACACAGGUUUGCUGACUGUGCCGUGUUGUUACUGCCGCAGCUGGAGACGGGACUCAGGAGAGUGUUUGCCGUCGUUAACAAGUGUCCACGGAGACUUCUGACGGCUGAGUCAACAGCUCUUUAUACCACCUUCGAUGAAAUAUUGGCAAAGCACUUGAGUGAUGGUAAACUCAAUCAACUUCCUCUUUUCCUUGGAGAGCCUGCAAUGGAGUUUCUUUGGGAUUUCCUGAACCAUCAGGAGGGUCCUCGUGUAAGAGACCAUCUGAGCCACGGGGAGAUCAGCUUCCCGGAAUUUCCAAAAGAGGCGGCGAACCAAUUGCUUGCAUUUUCCACCGUGCUGUUACUCCGAUUCGUCGACGAAGGCCCGUUGUCAGUGCUUAAGGAAAAGGCGGCGAUAAGGUCACUGGUCGGUCUCGCCGAAAGCUACCGUGCUCACCUCCACCCGGUGUCUCAGCUGAGAAAACAGGUGCUGAGCUGUGAGAAGAGCCUCGGGGCUUGGCCCCUCCUGUCUUUGCCCACAGAAGCCGAGGAGGCUGCCAGAUUAGAAGGUCAUUCUGAGACCGAUGCCUGCAACUCUUUACUUACAGAAAUCAUGUCUGAGCUGUGUCACCACCUGCCUGAGGAUCACCGUGUCGCUAGGGGCUUGGACAGCCUUCCUGCUGAGAAGUGGCCCCAGGUGAUCCGUGAACUCUGCAGCACCCCCGUGCCAACUCUGUUCUGUCCCAGAACCGUUCUGGAAGUGCUCACUGUCCUCCGAAACAUCACCGCACACUGUGCCCGCGUGUCCAGCCAAGUCGCUGCCUCCGCGGAGCUCAGACAGCGGCAGUGGGUGGAACGGAGGCUGCGCUCCCGGCAGAGACAGACGUAUCUGCACAUGCUGAGUAGUAUUAAGCUUCUGUCUCCUGUGCUUUACCUGAUUUUACUGCUGAUUGCGCUGGAAUUGGUCAACAUUCAUGUGGUUCAUGGAAAAAAUACUUGCGAAUAUCAACAGUAUCUAAAGUUCUUAAAGUCGAUCUUGCAGUACACGGAGAACCUGGUGGUUUACACCAGCCAAGAGAGGAACAAGUGGAAUGAAGCGAUCGUUCUUACGCGUACAGCUCUGUUGAAAAUUUGGACUUUCAGUGAGAAGAAACAGAUGUUAAUACAUUUAGCCGGGAAAUCCGCAAGUAAAGGGGUUCCGUGAAAGCACUUACAGGUCAAGAUGCUUUGGGCUACAUCCAGAAACCCGGUCCACACAGGCUUUAUUUACCUGCAUGGAAAUUGAAAAUCCAAAGGCACGUUCCGAGGUCUGGGAGUUCAGACUUCAACAUACGCACUUUGGGGACGCGACCCAGCCCCUAACGGAAACCGUGGAGGAAAGAACAGCUUUCCGGCGGAGCACCUGGAGUUUCAUUUUGUGCCGGGCCUCAAGAGUGGCGCAGCCAGCCCCGACACUCAGCUUGCAUGGUCUGAGCUCAGCGGUGGGACAAGUGUCUCCCCUUGGGAAUAUGCAGCAAAAAGCCAGCCUCCGUGAGGAUGUCCUCCACAAGGUCCUGGGAGCCCUGAGACCCAGUGCGUGCCUCCUGUACAGAGUAGUGUGGGGACUUUGGGGGCAGGUGAUGGGCGCAGUGGCCGGGGCUGUCUUCCUGCCUCCGGGAGGCCCUGCUGACCCCCCGGUGCACACUCAGCUACACCGAGGCGCCACUGCCUUCCUGCAGACUCAGCCACGGAUGUCACCUGUCUCUGUGCUGGUCCCAUCCCAGCCGAAGUCACAUAGAGCUCACCAGCAAGGGCCAGACGCCCUCUUGCUUUGACUUGCUGAAGGAUGCUGCCACGCAGCCAGCUUGCCAGCCAGAGUCCCCGUCCUCACGUGGACUUCUGCCCUGCAGCGGGGGACUUGACCCACGGCACGUACCCAAUACCCUCAGCAUGGCUCACCUUCCCCAGCUGCUGUGUCAGGUCAACGGGUCCUCUGCCUCAGGUUAGAGGACACGCGUGGUGGCGCCGUUUAGCAAAGGAACUUCGCACUGACACCUCCUUGCUGUAGCUGAUGAUGGCCACCCUGGAGCACAUCCCAGCGGGUGGCCGUGUGCCCCUCCUGUGGCUCCCUGCAGACGGCCUCUGGAUCCCUCCGUGGGACCUUUGCAGAUGGUCAUCCUGAUGCACAUCGUCCAGAAACAGAUCCCCACGGCAACCCCGAGGGGAUCAGGAACACACAACAAGAAGGUGUGAUGGCUGCAGAUGCCCCACAGGGACCCAGGAGGUGCGACAUCCAGCCGGCAGACAAAUGGUGGGGACGCGUCCAGAUGGCGUCGGAACGUCCAGCCGCGCCCCUGCGUCCCUCCCCCGCCUGUGGUUCUGCACACACAUCUUGCUGCCGAGGGCCCCCGUGUGCCAGGUUCUGCUUGGCACGAAUCCCGAUGGCAUUCCCCCUGCCUUCUGCCUGUGCCUAAUGAGCAAUCCCGAGACACCCCGCGGCUGAGAGCCCCAGACCGCGAGCCCAGCACCUCGGAGAAAUGCUGUCCUCCAGCGGCUCAGCUAGUCCUGGGGCGCUCCUGCCCGAUCUCAUGGUUUCUGCUACGUCGCCCAGAUCCCCCCCGCCCCCAUCACCUCUUCCAGAACACGCGGUGGCUCGGCCGCGGGACUCCUUUGCUGUGGCCUCCAGAACCCCACGUGGCAGAGCCAGCGGGCGCAGGAGCAGAGACAGGGCCGGUGGCCGUCAGCCCAGGGCCCGGCCGAGCACACCUCACAAGAAAGGACAGGGGUCCGCGGGGCCUGCCCAGGGUAGAGGUGGGUGAGACAGAAACAGAGCCCAAAGGGUGUGACUGUGGGGACACUGACCCCUCUAGACCCCACCUGCCUUUAUAUCCACGGUCAUCAUCAACCUCGAGAUCACCCAGCGAGGCGGCGGCCGCUCUUCACGGGGAUCGGCACCUACCCAAGUCACAGAGCGACCGAGCGGGCCAGGGGCUGAGCCCGGGCCAAGAGACAAGGUGGGCAGGCCGGGUGGUCAGCAGGGCCCCUGAACUGAGCCGAGGCCUGCAGGUCAACAAGAGGGUAGAGGAACUCGAAUGCCAGGGGGACACAGGCUGUGCGUGGGCAGGCCACUGGGCUGUGGCCUUGUCAGCAACGCGGGACUUGGAGCCUCAGCCUCCACGGGAACAUCACAAAUUUCCAGACUCCCCUGCAUCUGAUCGAUGGUUCCCGUCUUUUCCCUGGCUGGCCACUGACUAGUUCCGGGAAAGGACUGGCAGACUGCAGAUGUCUGGGGUGAAACAGCACCGCUGGGACACAGGACAGAGAGGAACAGUGGCAGGAGAGAGACGGUGCCCCCCACCGAAGUCUGCAGAGUCCCAACCCUUCCCGGGGCUGGAGGGUCGAUUUCCUCAGACGCCGGGUUUCGACACGCCCAGGGGUCUCCUCUCUGACUAUACAUCCCAGCGAACCACGUGGCUGUGAUUCCAGUAACCGGAAAUGCCUGACUCCACCUGUCCCACGCAGAAGCUGGCCUGUGGUGCCGUGGGGACUGGUGGCAGAGUUGUUCUAGUUCUGCAGGAUGUGACCAAACACAGUUCCAGGGAGCUAGCUGAUCAAGGGGUUUUGCAGAGUCCAUAUUUCGUAGAGACAAAAAGAGAAAACAGAAAAUCAUAUUGUAAGAAAAGAUACUAGUGUUGACUGAACUUGUGAGUGAACACAAACCAUAUACUAUUUAAGUUAAAUUUUUUGUUGUCUAUCAUGCUAAAAUAAUUGGUCCAUGAGGUCAGUGGCAGUCUGUCCAGUUGGGAAAUAGUAAUAUACAUUAUGUGAAGCUCAAACAUAAAAGUGUUCUUUAAAUAAGAAAGAUAAGUUUACCCCCUAAAAUCUAUUUGUUAAAUUUAAAUUUUUGAAUGGGUAAUAAUUCACAUGGUUUAGAAAUAAAAAACAUGAAAACGUA